rnacentral:lncRNA from 1 species
CAGGGGGGUUGGCAGCAAAGCAGGAACGAAACAGCAGUGGGAAGGACAACAGAGAUGUUAAUUUGAAGGAAAACAGUAAAACAUGAAGAGGUGUCAAAAGGUGUCCAUAAACUAAAAGGUGGUUAAGAAGGUUGGACUGCAGGCAGGAAGGGUGAUUGUCAGGAACACCAGCCUCUGAAACAAAUGAAGUAUUUUGGAAGUGACAUGGAAAGAUUAAGACAGCUGGGCAUGAGAAC